UGCCAGCCGCCGCGGUAAUACGGAGGGGGUUAGCGUUGUUCGGAAUUACUGGGCGUAAAGCGCGCGUAGGCGGAUUGUUAAGUCGGGGGUGAAAUCCCGGGGCUCAACCCCGGAACUGCCUUUGAUACUGCUAGUCUUGAGUUCGAGAGAGGUAAGUGGAAUUCCGAGUGUAGAGGUGAAAUUCGUAGAUAUUCGGAGGAACACCAGUGGCGAAGGCGACUUACUGGCUCGAUACUGACGCUGAGGUGCGAAAGUGUGGGGAGCAAACAGGAUUAGAUA
rnacentral:rRNA from 1 species